GAUGAACGCUGGCGGCGUGCCUAAUACAUGCAAGUCGAGCGAACGGACGAGAAGCUUGCUUCUCUGAUGUUAGCGGCGGACGGGUGAGUAACACGUGGAUAACCUACCUAUAAGACUGGGAUAACUUCGGGAAACCGUAGCUAAUACCGGAUAAUAUUUUGAACCGCAUGGUUCAAAAGUGAAAGACGGUCUUGCUGUCACUUAUAGAUGGAUCCGCGCUGCAUUAGCUAGUUGGUAAGGUAACGGCUUACCAAGGCAACGAUGCAUAGCCGACCUGAGAGGGUGAUCGGCCACACUGGAACUGAGCCACGGUCCAGACUCCUACGGGAGGCAGAAGUAGGGAAUCUUCCGAAAUGGGCGAAAGCCUGAAGGAGCAACGCCGCGUGAGUGAUGAAGGUCUUCGGAUCGUAAAACUCUGUUAUUAGGGAAGAACAUAUGUGUAAGUAACUGUGCACAUCUUGACGGUACCUAAUCAGAAAGCCACGGCUAACUACGUG
rnacentral:rRNA from 1 species